UAUACCUGUUGCUUCGGCGGCGCCCGCGAGGGCGCCCGCCGGUCUCAUCAGAAUCUCUGUUUUCGAACCCGACGAUACUUCUGAGUGUUCUUAGCGAACUGUCAAAACUUUUAACAACGGAUCUCUUGGCUCCAGCAUCGAUGAAGAACGCAGCGAAACGCGAUAUGUAAUGUGAAUUGCAGAAUUCAGUGAAUCAUCGAAUCUUUGAACGCACAUGGCGCCUUCCAGUAUCCUGGGAGGCAUGCCUGUCCGAGCGUCGUUUCAACCCUCGAGCCCCCCGUGGCCCGGCGUUGGGGAUCUGCCACGGCAGGCCCCUAAAACCAGUGGCGGACCCGCUGGGCCCUCUCCUUUGCGCAGUAGCAUCAGCCUCGCAUCGGGAGCCCUCGGCGUCCUGCCUCUAAACCCCCCACAAGCCCGCUCCGGCGGCACCAAGGUUGACCUCGGAUCAGGUAGGAAUACCCGCUGAACUUAAGCAUAU
rnacentral:rRNA from 1 species